GCUGAAAUGCAUUGUUUAGUAAUAAUAAUAUACACCAGCCUUGCUUGAAAUGUGAACACAUCUUUCCAAACUGUAAAAAUAUCAUUUUAUCAUGGACAGUUCUGCCUCUGCAACGCCCCUCUGGUUCAAUUCUGCUAUAGGUGCGGAUGACGUGUCUUUGUACCAAAGUACGAUGACAUGUCUCAGUAUGCAAAUCAGUCAAACAACGUUACCGUCCCGUGAUGAUGCCCCACACGAGCCCAGAGCCAUGUAGAGAGAUGGCUCUGCCAGUGCUGCACUCAUAAACAUGAAACCAUGCGAGCCUAGAGUAAUCUGAUGGACUGAUUCUUGCAAGUUUCCAGCUGAUGAUAAGUUCCAUGAACAGCUUGCACAACAUAAGGAUUUAGGGCCACUGCAACAAACCCUGGAUGACAGAUGAGGCAGUGUACGACCCCAACCUGUCACUUCUGUGAACAACCUGUUUGAUGGUCGUUUUCUCCUGGAAUCCACCGAACCCAGAUUCUUCUGCCAGACUGCCAGAUGGUGAAGUGCAAUUCAUCAUUCCAGAGAACACGUUUCUACUGCUCCAGAGUCCAACAGUGGUGUGCUUUACUCCAGCUGACGCUUGGCAUUGCACACAGUCAUCUUGGCACUGCACAUGGCAUGGAUAUUUUCCAGACCAGGAACAACACAGAGCAAGUUUUGAAGGAGCCUCUGAGAAUGUUUUUUUUUACCAAAUCCAACUUCUCCUGAGGUCAAGUAUCAGGUUAUGACCCCUCGUUAUCUGUGAUUCCUAAAGAAAAGCUGACUACAUCCAUAUUGUGCCCACAUCUGACCUCAGCAAGAUAUCUCCACCUGCAGAAUGACUGAAUGCAGACUAAAAUCAUCCUUAUACACAUUU